AAAUUAAGGAAGGAGAUCAACUAACUUUAUUGGAUCCCCAUUUUCUUCAGGUCGACUUUUCUUGGAAAGGAAAGUGUUACAAGUUCAAAUCAAUUCGUGUUGAUUUCUUGGAGCAAGUGCUUGUGAAUGGCAAAGCUCUUCCCCGUCAUCAGGCCAUUCAAACAUCGAUUUAUGCUCGACAUAAACCAUGAAUACCGUGUGGAGUUUGAUAAUUAUUUGUGCAUUUGUGCCUAUU